UCUUGUAAUUGGAAUGAUGGGAAUUUAAACCUCUUCCAGAGUAUCAAUUGGAGGGCAAGUCUGGUGCCAGCAGCCGCGGUAAUUCCAGCUCCAAUAGCGUAUAUUAAAAUUGUUGCAGUUAAAAAGCUCGUAGUUGAAUUUCUGCUGCAUUGCUUGUGUCCCUCUGGGGUCUGUGCAUGUGGCUUUUUUCGGACGGAGUUUCUUUGUCUGAAUGUUUACUUUGAGAAAAUUAGAGUGCUCAAAGCAGGCUUUCGCCUUGAAUAGUUUAGCAUGGAAUAAUAAAGUAGGACUUUGGUUCUAUUUUGUUGGUUUUAGGUACCAAAGUAAUGGUUAAUAGGAACAGUUGGGGGCAUUCGUAUUUAACUGUCAGAGGUGAAAUUCUUAGA
rnacentral:rRNA from 1 species